GACGUAGGGCGCGAGCGUUGUCCGGAUUUAUUGGGCGUAAAGAGCUCGUAGGCGGCUUGUUGCGUCGACCGUGAAAACCCGGGGCUCAACUUCGGGCUUGCGGUCGAUACGGGCGGGCUAGAGUUCGGUAGGGGAGACUGGAAUUCCUGGUGUAGCGGUGAAAUGCGCAGAUAUCAGGAGGAACACCGGUGGCGAAGGCGGGUCUCUGGGCCGAUACUGACGCUGAGGCGCGAAAGCCAGGGGAGCGAACGGG
rnacentral:rRNA from 1 species